ACCGACACGCACGCACCCGCCACAGUCACUCACUCCCUGCUUGUAGCGGCUCGCUGACUUCCAUGGACGAAUACGUGUGCACCUCAUGUGGCACACCGGCGUGCCUGGUGCUCUCUGUCAGUCCCGCGCUGCCCUCGUCUAGCACCGUCCUUGCGGACAAGGCCCGAAUCCCGCCACAAGAAGGCGGCUUGCUUGGCGCGCUGCCACCUCUGAUGCGAUUCUGCAUAGUUUGCGGGCACGAGUUGGCGCCCCGCAGCCGAGUGCCGCCUCACAAGAAGCCCGCUGACUCAGCCGCAGUACCGCGGCCAAAGCAAAGACCCGUGGCGGCUCCGAACUCAUCAUCGGAGCCUCUGGUAGCACCGACUGCCAUGGUCUCAGUCGCUACCAUGCACGCUGCUGUAGUGGCCCUCACCCGCCAGCACCAGGCAGAAAGGAUGACACUGCAGCAGGAGAUGGAUCAGCUGAAAGCUGUGCUGGCGGCAGUGCUGGAGCGCCAUCCUUCGCUUUCAGAGUCCGAGAGGGCACCCGCGAAAGCCGUCGUUCCUGCACCUCACUCCGGGGAUGCGCCCUCUUUCGAAUCUGAUUGUGGCUGUGGUGCACAUCACGGCCGUAGUGACAGCUGCUUCAGCAGCGGCCACUGCCGCACUCGCUCUCCGUCGAUUGUUCUACCAGCGUCUUGCUUAGCAAGGCCGGGGAUCUCCCCAGGCGAGGCAGCAGGUACUCUUGCUACCACGGCAGGCAACGCAUCGAUGCCGCUGCAACAGUGUGCACCUCCCCGUUGCUCGCGCACGCUGCCGCGUCACUCGUGCAGCUACGACAGCGACAUUGCUGUUUCUGAGUGGGCCGCUGCUGCUGAUGCUGUCGCCCCCACGCAACUUGAGGCGCGGCUGAAUUCAGUCUGUAGCGCAUCUCUGCUGGAUAGCGAGAGAACGCGCAGGUCUGCGCUCCUCACGCAGCAGGUGCCCUUCCCUGUAGCUCCGCUUCGGCGGUCGAGCGACGAUGGAGAACUUGACUCUCAUCAACCUCAGCAGGACGAGCACGCGCGUUUGCGAGAGGCACUGCUGCAGCAGCUGUGAAAAAGGGCAGGGAGGGGCGUCACACUGAUGACAAACCGGCAGCCGUGCAUGACCGCGGCGGGUGGGUGGUGGUGGUGGUGGGGGCCGUGAGGAGUGUAGCGGGCCAUCUCGCGUCUCUGCAGAUGAGAGUACCUCUCCGUGUGCGUCGCCUAACUUCCCCCUUCCUCUCUCGCGGCACCGCUUCGUUUCCCUCUCCUUGUGCUAAGACGUUAGACCUUCACACUUCUUGGCAGUGCUGAUCUGCGGCUGUGGAUGCUCUGCGAGCGGAAGAGCCAGUGCCGCGGUCAGCCCUUUCUCAUGCCUCUCCCCCCUCUUUCCGAAAGGCGUUCUGUGUGCUAGAUGGACGUCGUCCACCUUCGAU
rnacentral:misc_RNA from 1 species